UCCCUUGUGGCUCAGCUGGUAAAGAAUCUGCCUGCAAUGUGGGAGACCUGGGUUCGAUCCCUGGCUUGGGAG
rfam:TPA: Bos taurus chromosome 11, whole genome shotgun sequence.